GAUGAAGAACGUAGCGAAAUGCGAUACGUAAUGUGAAUUGCAGAAUUCAGUGAAUCAUCGAAUCUUUGAACGCACAUUGCACUCUCUGGUAUUCCGGAGAGUAUGCUUGUUUGAGUAUCUGUAAACAUCUCAAAUCUCUCUUCAAUUGCUUCAAUUGGGUCGAGAGAAUGGGAUUUGAGCGAUCCCGACUCCUUCGUCAGAAAGAGGAGGGUCGCUUGAAAUGCAGGUGCAGCUGGACAUUCUUCUGAGCAAAAAGCAUAUCUAUUUAGUCCCGUCAAACGGAUUAUUACUUUUGCUUCAGCUAAUAUAAAGGUUGAAUGAACUACCAACGCUGAUUGCAGGAAAACAUGUUCGUUUAUUCGGACUUGUAAACUCGAUCUCAAAUCAAGUAAGACUACCCGCUGAACUUAAGCAUAUCAAUAAGCGGAGGA
rnacentral:misc_RNA from 1 species